GAGAGUAAUAUAAUAUGCGUUUAAUGGAUGCCUUGGUGCGACACACCGAAGAAGGACGUGGAGGGCUGCGAUAAGCGCCGGGGAGCUGCCGUCAAGCUUUGAUCC
rnacentral:rRNA from 1 species